rnacentral:rRNA from 1 species
UACAGAGGGUGCGAGCGUUAAUCGGAAUUACUGGGCGUAAAGGGCGCGUAGGUGGUUGUUUAAGUGAGAUGUGAAAUCCCUGGGCUUAACCUAGGAACUGCAUCUUAUACUGGACGGCUAGAGUACUGUAGAGGACAGUGGAAUUUCCGGUGUAGCGGUGAAAUGCGUAGAGAUCGGAAGGAACACCAGUGGCGAAGGCGGCUGUCUGGACAGAUACUGACACUGAGGCGCGAAAGCGUGGGUAGCAAACAGG